rnacentral:rRNA from 1 species
AUUGAACGCUGGCGGCAGGCCUAACACAUGCAAGUCGAACGAUUUGCGGACGGGUGAGUAAUGUCUGGGAAACUGCCUGAUGGAGGGGGAUAACCACUGGAAACGGUAGCUAAUACCGCAUUCCAUCAGAUGUGUCCAGAUGGGAUAGGCUUUGUGGUGGGGUAACGGCUCCCCAAGGCGAAGAUCCCUAGCUGGUCUGAGAGGAUGACCAGCCACACGGGAACUGAGACACGGUCCCGACUCCAACGGGAGGCAGCAGUGGGGACUAUUGCACAAUGGGCGCAAGCCUGAUGCAGCAAUGCCGCGAGUAUGAAGAAGGCCUUCGGGUUGUAAGGUACUUUUAGCGGGGAGGCGUUACCCGCAGAAGAAGCACCGGCUAACUCCGUGCCAGCAGCCGCGGUAAUAC